AGAGUUUGAUCAUGGCUCAGGAUGAACGCUGGCGGUCUGCUUAACACAUGCAAGUCGAACGGAGUAGAAAUACUUAGUGGCGGACGGGUGAGUAACGCGUGAGAAUCUGCCUUUUGGUCGGGGACAACCACUGGAAACGGUGGCUAAUACCGGAUAAGCCUGCGGGUAAAAGAUUAAUUGCCAAGAGAAGAGCUCGCGUCUGAUUAGCUAGUUGGUGAGGUAAAGGCUCACCAAGGCGGCGAUCAGUAGCUGGUCUGAGAGGAUGAUCAGCCACACUGGGACUGAGACACGGCCCAGACUCCUACGGGAGGCAGCAGUGGGGAAUUUUCCGCAAUGGGCGAAAGCCUGACGGAGCAAGACCGCGUGAGGGAGGAAGGCUCUUGGGUUGUAAACCUCUUUUGUCAGGGAAGAACACAAUGACGGUACCUGAAGAAUCAGCAUCGGCUAACUCCGUGCCAGCAGCCGCGGUAAUACGGAGGAUGCAAGCGUUAUCCGGAAUUAUUGGGCGUAAAGCGUCCGCAGGUGGCACUUCAAGUCUGCUGUCAAAGACCGGGGCUUAACCCUGGAAAGGCAGUGGAAACUGAAGCGCUAGAGUGUGGCAGGGGUAGAGGGAAUUCCCGGUGUAGCGGUGAAAUGCGUAGAGAUCGGGAAGAACAUCGGUGGCGAAAGCGCUCUACUGGGCCACAACUGACACUCAGGGACGAAAGCUAGGGGAGCGAAUGGGAUUAGAUACCCCAGUAGUCC
rnacentral:rRNA from 1 species